AAAUUGAAGAGUUUGAUCAUGGCUCAGAUUGAACGCUGGCGGCAGGCCUAACACAUGCAAGUCGAACGGUAACAGGAAGCAGCUUGCUGCUUCGCUGACAAGUGGCGGACGGGUGAGUAAUGUCUGGGAAACUGCCUGAUGGAGGGGGAUAACUACUGGAAACGGUGGCUAAUACCGCAUGACGUCGCAAGACCAAAGAGGGGGACCUUCGGGCCUCUUGCCAUCAGAUGUGCCCAGAUGGGAUUAGCUUGUUGGUGAGGUAACGGCUCACCAAGGCGACGAUCCCUAGCUGGUCUGAGAGGAUGACCAGCCACACUGGAACUGAGACACGGUCCAGACUCCUACGGGAGGCAGCAGUGGGGAAUAUUGCACAAUGGGCGCAAGCCUGAUGCAGCCAUGCCGCGUGUAUGAAGAAGGCCUUCGGGUUGUAAAGUACUUUCAGCGGGGAGGAAGGUGUUGUGGUUAAUAACC
rnacentral:rRNA from 10 species